GGCUCGGUGGUUUAGUGGUCUAACACCUAGUGCUACGGGUAUGCCCGAGGCGCUGGUUCGAAUCCAGCCUGAGCCG
rnacentral:tRNA from 1 species